AACAGCGGGAACGAGGCGGGGCCGGGGAGACAGGCUCCGGGCAGGGCCGCGCGCCGACCGGAUGUGCCUGGGCCCGGAAACGCCGCCCGUUAGGACCGAGGCCGCCCCGUGUGAGGGAGGGGCCCUUCGCGGUUGCCAGGCGCCCCCGCGAACGCCACCAACGCGGGGGAACCGAGCUGCGGGCAAACCCGGCCCGGACAGCAGCACGGUAUCCCCGCGCCUCCCGCUGCAGAAGCCCCGAUGGCCGGGGCUGAGGCCUCGGGGCCCGCCGCCCUGCGCGUGGCCUCGGGCUGGUGCCCCCGAGGGCCGUGGCGCAGCGGUGAUGGGAGCGAGGCCAGCCCGGACCGGUCCCGUCCGCCCUGUUUGUCCUCGGCAUAAACCUGAUUCAGGCCCGCCUGGGCGGACACACCACAGGACACCCCAUCACCCACGCCUGCUUAGGGCGGGUUAGGCCAGCAGAGGCCCGCAGCGCCCACGCCCUUGCCUGUGGGAGGCUUCUCUGGCCCACGGCGUCCACGCUGCCGCAGGACGGGCUUGCGAGACUGUCCCUGGCCUGGGGAUCGCACCCUGCGCUGAGGAAACCUCUUUCAGACGGGAGCCUAACUUGACUAUCUUGACUGUCCUCUGGGAGGCUCCACCCAGCAGCAGAUGGAGACAGAUGCUAGGACUUGCAACCAAGCAUGGGAUGGAGCUCUGGGGGUCCUGUGGAAGUGUUGGGGGAAAGAUGGAAGGACCUGAAUGAAGGGGACAAGAACCUCACAAGAAGACCAACAGAGACAACUAACCCAGACCCUCGGGAGCUUACAGAGUCUGAGACACCGGCUUAGAAGGGCUUGAUUAAGGCCUGCAUUAACAUCCUGUAGUCUGUUUUGCCUCCUCUGUAGUGGUUAAGAUCUCCUCUGGCCGCUUGGCACCACAAAGCAGGAGGAAGACCUGUGGUGACAGGAAGGCAAGGUCUAACCCAAACCACGUUCCCCAGAAAUUUUAGGGGGAAUUGUAAUCCUGUUGGCCCUCAGAAGUAGGGGGAAAUGCCGCAAAUGUAAUUUAUCUUUUAUGGUGUCUGUGGUAACGAUUACAUCCACAUCUUCCAAGACAUCUCGUUGAGAAGGUCUACCAGCAUGAGGGGUGCAAUUGCUCCCUGAUUACCAUCAUUGUUACACAAGGUGACCGGCCUAGCUGUUUGCCAAGACUGUGUCAGGAUGCCAAAGUCCAGGGCAAAGUUUCCAAGAACAGGGAACUUCCUUCUUAAACAAGUUCUUCCACAAAAUAUGCUAUCCUCUACUUUUAACCAAAGGCAGGCCAGUUGCAUACCAACAGGAAUUGUCCAGAGUAUUCUCGUGGUUUCCCCAUUAGUUGCAGGGCUGGGGAUUUAAAGGCUGGCCAUCUUUGGUAGUUUUGGAGUGGUAGUCUUUGGCCCAAUGGAACCUUUUUAUUUUUUUAUUUUUUUACAUCUUGGGCAGAUUGAUGGGGGAUGUUUUUCAGUUCUGUCUUGUAUCUUGUUAGGACAUUGAUGGGCAAAGUGAACCUGAUCCCCACAUGUCCAACAUCCUGCCUUGCAUUUACCUCCAGUGUCCCAUGUUUUUAAAUGUGUCCCUAGAGCAGCUGCCAUACUUUCUGUCUGAUUGAGGGCAGUAGCUAAGUCUCUAGUGGCAGUUAUCCAAGCCUCCAAUUCUCCUGCCCACACUGGAGCAAUCGGGUUACAUGCCUUCAUGGUAGCCCAGGCACUUUUGUUAAGGCAUCAGCAGGUGCGUGAUACUGUACCUACCAAUCGAUGGCUUCUUGCCCUCUUUAGACAAAGUUGACAAAGUGCUCAUUUGUUUUUUGUUUUAACCCACUGAGUGGUACUGUAGCACCCUCAGUGGUUUUCUGUAUGGCACGCAUGGCGCACAAGCACACCUGAUGGAAAUAGUUAGGAGGGCCUUCUGGAACCAGUAGAAUUGAACAGUUCUUGAGUAGGGAGUGAGAACUGAAAAAAAAAAAAAAAAAAAAAAAAAAAAAAAAACCAGCACACCACACAUGGGAUCUUUCAGAGAGCGCUCUAGGAGAAACUAGUUUCCUAGUCUAUUCCAAUAAUCCCUCUUUAAGUCAGAGCAAAAGCACCUCAGUACAAUGACUGAAAUCACAGGAGCACUCAAACUCCUUUACCUCAACCACCUGUCCGUGUGAUCCUCACACAAACAAAAGGUGUGAACUUGAGAAGACAUCCCACCUGCUGUCUCAAACAAAAGGGCGUAGACUUGGCAGCUCAUCACUGACUCCAGGUGAAGGCCAGGGUGAAAACAUGUCUUUCCACUGAGAUCAAAGCUUCCUGACAGACCAGCGGCUCCCCACAGGUCUCUCUUUUUUUGUAUUUUAAAAGUUGACCAUAACUUAAGAGCUAUGGAACAGAAGAUUGUGCCUGUCUUAGGUUGUGUCUCUUGAAAGAUAUAUUCUUACCCAUCAUUGGUACAUGAAUUCCGUCAUUCAUGCUCUUAGGUUGAAUAUUCUUCAGAGAAAUCUUACCUGUCUUUGACUUCCAACCUCUGCUAGGGUAGACACUGGGGUUUAAUCUUGUGCAGAUCAGCGUGAACAUUCUAAAAGGCCUUGAUGAAGGUUUUAAUUAUCAUUGGUAGGAGACCAUGCUCCUAAUAAGAGUCAUAAGCCAAGUCCAAUAACACUCCAAAUACCAAGCCUGAGAAACAUUCACAGGAACCAUAAUAAAAGGCUGUUGAACAAUCAGAACUUACUGUCCAUGUGAAAGCUUAGAAAUAGAUUUUGUUAGUUUACAUUGAUGGCAAGAAACAUUAAAGUUUGCAUCUUAUGUAAGAACAUCAACAUUUCUAAAAAAAAAAUAAUGAGAAUUUACAUAGGCAAUUAUUGGGCCUCCCAAGAGUUUCUCUGGCAAGCUUACAAAUAUAGGUCUGCUGAAAACCAGAAUCAGACCAAAGUCCCAUAGUCAGUCCUGAUUUUGUUGAGAAUUGUCCCGAUUACCAGAUCAAGUCCAAUCACACUGUAACUAAGAGGUUUCUCUGCAAAACAUCUCCCAGGAGCAGAAUGAAACAAAGGUGGGUCAGGAGCAUAAGCCCAAUACAGCUCUCCAUUCACCAUAAGGACAGGAUUCACUAUGGUCAGCAGCAGGAACAUCCUCCUUCCGGGAAACAUCUGCAAAUCGCACCAGCCUUUCUGGGAUCCACCUGGUACUCUCUGCAUCCUGCAGAAAAACAAACAUGCCCUCUUCCCCAUAUUAAUUCAGGGUUGGGGCCCUGCCAUAUUCCAGUAAUUGGAUCUUUCCAUUUCACUUGGGCAUAAUUACCUUUGGUAUUAGGGUGCCACAAUUGAUCAGCUGUAGAAUGGCCUUGUAUAUCUACAUUCAAAAAUUUUAAAAUAGAGCUUGGUUAAGACUUGGGGAUAUGAUUCCCCCUUUUUUAUUUUUUGCUAUUGGUUCUUAAGAAAUCUAUGGACACGCUCCAUAAUUUCUUGGCCUUGAGGAUUCUAUGGAAUACCUGUUUUAUGGCUUAUAUUUAUUUGCGCACAGAACGCUGAAAAGCUUGACUAAUAUAUGCAGUACCAUUAUCAGUCUUUAUAAUGAAAAGAUUACCAACUGUAGCAAAACAUUUUAAGCAGUGACUUAUAACGUCUUUGGUGGCUUUUCCUGUUGUUAUGCCCAGUUUGUGGGAGCCCCAAAGACCACCAGGGAUGCAAAACUCCCUGGCUUAGCAGGAGAGGUGGCCCCAAGGUCUAGGGGAAUGGGGCAAAACUGCAAGUGGGAAGAGGAACGGGCCUCCAAGCCUUGGCAUUACAUGAUUGGGUAGGGGGUCUGCUUUAGGUGCCAAGACAAUAAGCGGUCCCAGCCUGGCCAUCUGGAGGGUAUUUGAUCAUGAACAAUGCCUGGAAUAUGCUGAUUAGCUGUUGCUAGGGAAGAAGAGUGAUUGCCACACACUGUGGUCACAAGCUAGGGGGCCACCUGGGUGGGUUGCCAGGAAAGGAUGUUUCUCAAGUGCAGGAAGGAUUGUGGUGAGCCCAGUUACUCCCUGCAUUGGGCCAGACCUGUCUCAAUUAACCCGGUCUUUUGUCUAAACUUUUAUCCAGGACCUCAGUUAUGCUGCCCUAAGACUCGAAUUUUAAACUUUGGACCUCUCAUUCCCCCCCUUUUAAGUGGAUACUGUCUCAAAUCCUUGAGACGUGUUCAGACCAUUUGCCCUUAUGUUGAGGGGCCUUUCUUGAUCAUUUCAGCCUCAUAGGUGGGAUUAUGGGCAAAGGUCUCUUCUUCUGGAAGUGCUUCAGUGUUGACAAUGGGGCCAAUGACAUCAGGGGCUAGAAAGGCUGAAAAGAUUAGUUGAUCCAUCUGGAGAGGCAGGGGGCAGUCUGAUUAGCUCCCAGAAAAACUACCAGCUUGCACAGAUGUUAUCCAGGUGGGUUCCAUCAAGUAAAAUCUUAAUAAACUGAACACAGACUUGGAACAGAACAGAAUUACCAUCCUUUGAAAAGACUGUGGGAGGGAGAAAUCAAAGAUUAGUGUCAUUUUCAUUACCACUCAAUCCUUGGUACUGUGAUUGUAGCACCAUUAGUAGAAUGUUCCCCAGCCUUUGCUUAACAUACUGCAAGAAUUUGUUAAUGAUACAAAGACCAAGGGUUAAUAGGAGCAACAGGAUAACUAGAAGCCCUACUAAGGUUGAAAUGAGGGUAGUCAGCCAUGGGGAGGAAUCAAACAAAGCAUGAUACCAGCUUUUGGUAUGUUCCCUUUCUUUUCAUCUGCAGGCAAAGCUUUCUCUUAGCUCAGUCCGGGACCUUUUAAUAACUCUGGAGUGAUUAGCAUAAAAGCAGCAUUCCUCUCCCAGUGCUAUGCAGAGCCCUCCUUGUUAUAGAAAUAGCAGAACUAAUCCCCUUCUGUUCUGCAACACAACUUCGGCCAAGAAGUCUACAUUUUGUUCCAAGUGAUAGAUUGAUCUUUCCAGGCAUCGAAUAUCUGCAUCUAUAUCAAUUCUGAGAUCAUUGUAAUUUUUUUCUUGUGCUGCCAGGGCAGCUAUUCCAGUGCUAGCUCCCACCCCAGUAUUAAAGCCAAAGUUAAAGAGAUAUUGGCUCCCUCUUUUGUCUCAUAGGGUAUGUUUCUGUUCCCCUUAUUAAGGUUUUUAGCAUUUCCUCAGGGUAGCACAUUAUGUGAGGUACCAGCUGAACUAGAAUACAAAAUUGGGAUAGGUCUACCGAGCUAAUGAUUGGCCCAUAUGUGCAAGGGGUGACUCCAGUAGAGCAUGCCCACCAAGCCUGUUCUGGGGUAUGAUCCAUUUAGAGUGGAUUACUGGUUCAGUCUUGUUAGAUAAAUGUUGGUGGGAUGGUGGGACUCUUCCCCAGACAUAUCCCCUGUCCAGUGAUUGCCUGAAGGGUUAUCACCAGCCCUUCCUAGGACCAUCUGCAAGCUCAAUGUUCUCCAAGACACUGUAGGUCAUCAUCAGAGCAAUACCCUCAUAAAAGGGAGUCUUAGAGUUACAGCAGAGCCAGCAGGAAAUUGUGAGGUCUGAUUUGGAAGCAUUCAGAACCUGAAAAGUACCCUAAGGGGUCCAUAUCCAUCUUUAAGUAUGAAGGGGUGGAGCCAGAAAGAGCAGGCAUUGUUGACAUGGGAGGGUCUCAGGCAAGCCGGGAACAGUGGGAGGAGGUUGGGGUGCCUGAGGUGCCAGGAUCUGAUUAGGACCCAGGGCAAUAAGGGGACCUGUUACAAGGAGUGUUUCAUAAAGUCUUACUGUAAAGAGAGCCCCUGGAUCCUUCUGUAUUGGCAUGUAUUCUGAUUCCCCAAGCUUUCCCUGUUUUCCAAUCUUGCUGCUUUCUGUAGUGAAGGCUAAUCGAAGGGGGAUACGGCAUUCCUUCCAGGUCCCACCAUCAAUUUGUCAGCUAAGGCUGGUAGCAUCAUCUUUAGCUGGGUAUAGCGAUCUGUGUCUUUUAUCCAAGAAGCCUCCCCUGUUGUCUCACAUCCCCAUUCUCUACAAUAAAAAUCAUUUCCACAUUC